rnacentral:misc_RNA from 1 species
GAGAGAGAGAGAGAGAGAGAGACGGUAUGUAUAUUAACUGAAGAUGUCUGAAAAAUAUUUUAUUUGCACAUAACAGUGUGAAAUGAUGCAUAUACAUGUAGGACAUUGCUAUAUUUCUUGCUUGCUUUAGUCUGUUAAUCAUGUGAUAUUUCCCACAAAAUAUGUAGGAAAUAAUUUUCUGAUUUUCUUUGGCAGUUGUUGUGGAGUCCGCGCUUUGGUUUUCACCGUGCUCUUGUCUGAAAUAAGAACUGUGCAUUACAAAUUUACUCCUGUCUUUAAAUUAUGACUAAAAAUACCUGCAUGGUACAUUCUGCAAAUUUAUACCAAAUAAAUGAUUCGCCUUUAGAGCGUAGCAAUAAC